UAGGGAAUCUUCCGCAAUGGGCGAAAGCCUGAUGGAGCAACGCCGCGUGAGUGAUGAAGGUCUUCGGAUCGUAAAACUCUGUUAUUAGGGAAGAACAUAUGUGUAAGUAACUGUGCACAUCUUGACGGUACCUAAUCAGAAAGCCACGGCUAACUACGUGCCAGCAGCCGCGGUAAUACGUAGGUGGCAAGCGUUAUCCGGAAUUAUUGGGCGUAAAGCGCGCGUAGGCGGUUUUUUAAGUCUGAUGUGAAAGCCCACGGCUCAACCGUGGAGGGUCAUUGGAAACUGGAAAACUUGAGUGCAGAAGAGGAAAGUGGAAUUCCAUGUGUAGCGGUGAAAUGCGCAGAGAUAUGGAGGAACACCAGUGGCGAAGGCGACUUUCUGGUCUGUAACUGACGCUGAUGUGCGAAAGCGUGGGGAUCAAACAGGAUUAGAUACCCUGGUAGUCCACGCCGUAAACGAUGAGUGCUAAGUGUUAGGGGGUUUCCGCCCCUUAGUGCUGCAGCUAACGCAUUAAGCACUCCGCCUGGGGAGUACGACCGCAAGGUUG
rnacentral:rRNA from 1 species